rnacentral:tRNA from 3 species
CAAGGCGUAGCUAUAAGACAAAGCAUUCAGCUUACACCUGAAAGAUAUCUGUCCACCACGGAUCGUCUUGA